rnacentral:rRNA from 1 species
AUUGAACGCUGGCGGCAGGCCUAACACAUGCAAGUCGAACGAGUGGCGGAAGGGUGAGUAAUGUAUGGGAAACUGCCUGAUGGAGGGGGAUAACUACUGGAACCGGUAGCUAAUACCGCAUACCAUCGGAUGUGCCCAGAUGGGAUUAGCUAGUAGGUGGUGUAAAGGCUCACCUAGGAGACGAUCCCUAGCUGGUGUGAGAGGAGUACCAGCCAGACUGGAACGGAGACACGGUCCAGACUCCUACGGGAGGCAGCAGUGGGGAAUAUUGCACAAUGGGCGCAAGCCUGAUGCAGCCAUGCCGCGUGUAUGAAGAAGGCCUUCGGGUUGUAAAGGACUUUCAGCGGGGAGGCGUUACCCGCAGAAGAAGCACCGGCUAACUCCGUGCCAGCAGCCGCGGUAAUAC